GACGAACGCUGGCGGCGUGCUUAACACAUGCAAGUCGAACGGAAAGGCCCUGCUUUUGUGGGGUGCUCGAGUGGCGAACGGGUGAGUAACACGUGAGUAACCUGCCCUUGACUUUGGGAUAACUUCAGGAAACUGGGGCUAAUACCGGAUAGGAGCUCCUGCUGCAUGGUGGGGGGUGGAAAGUUUCGGCGGUUGGGGAUGGACUCGCGGCUUAUCAGCUUGUUGGUGGGGGAGUGGCUUACCAAGGCUUUGACGGGUAGCCGGCCUGAGAGGGUGACCGGGCACAAUGGGACUGGGGUACGGACCAGGCUCCUACGGGGGGCAAGAGGGGGGAAUAUUGCACAAUGGGCGGAAGCCUGAUGCAGCAACGCCGCGUGCGGGAUGACGGCCUUCGGGUUGUAAACCGCUUUCGCCUGUGACGAAGCGUGAGUGACGGUAAUGGGUAAAGAAGCACCGGCUAACUACGUG
rnacentral:rRNA from 1 species